GACGAACGCUGGCGGCGUGCUUAACACAUGCAAGUCGAACGGAAAGGCCCUGCUUUUGUGGGGUGCUCGAGUGGCGAACGGGUGAGUAACACGUGAGUAACCUGCCCUUGACUUUGGGAUAACUUCAGGAAACUGGGGCUAAUACCGGAUAGGAGCUCCUGCUGCAUGGUGGGGGUUGGAAAGUUUCGGCGGUUGGGGAUGGACUCGCGGCUUAUCAGCUUGUUGGUGGGGUAGUGGCUUACCAAGGCUUUGACGGGUAGCCGGCCUGAGAGGGUGACCGGCCACAUUGGGACUGAGAUACGGCCCAGACGCCUACGGGAGGCAGCAGUGGGAAAUAUUGCGCAAUGGGCGGAAGCCUGAUGCAGCAACGCCGCGUGCGGGAUGACGGCCUUCGGGUUGUAAACCGCUUUCGCCUGUGACGAAGCGGGAGUGACGGUAAUGGGUAAAGAAGCACCGGCUAACUACGUG
rnacentral:rRNA from 1 species